rnacentral:lncRNA from 1 species
GGCGCGGCGCGGCGCGGGCGCGGAGCGUGGGAAGAGCGGGCGGAGCUCUCGGAAGCCAAGUCCGCAGCGUUGCGCCUCCCGCGGGUGGCUGCGCCGCGGGGCCGAGGUUGCUGUGCUGCGCCGGAAGCCACCGGCCGCCCAGGUAGGAGCUUCAGGGCGGGAUGAGCCAGGCAGGCCGCGCGUGACCCCUGCAUUCCCGCCCGGCCGGCAGCGCUUACCCCUCCGCUGCCGGCUCGCAGGCAGGCGAGCGCGGACGGCGGCCUGGGCGGUGCAGGCCUGAGCGGCCGCAGCCUCGGACGCACUAACCUGAACGGCGCCCUGCCACUCAGCUUCCCGAUCAAGGCGUAGAACUCUCAGCUCCUCCAGCACUAUGUCUGCCUGCACACCGCCAUACUUCCCGCCAUGAUGACAAUGGACUACACCUCCAAAACUAGCCCUGGGUUCAUGGAUUCCUGCUGUCAUUUCACGUGGUUGAUGAGAAGUGUCCGUAAAAAGCCAGGUUCCCAGGCUGGCCUCUGAGCAUAGAUGGCAGAAGGGAGGAUCCUGUCCCUGCUCAGGAGUCAUCCUUACCCCCUGAAAUCAAAUACUACACGUAGCACCCUGUAAAACUGCUUCCUUGUAGGCUUCAACAUGCUUGCUAAGUAAACAUCUGCCCAUGUUUUUGGAACUGAAUUCAUCUCUGCUUCCUGGUCAUUCCUUUUGGGCUUUUCUGUUCUCAGUGCUCCAUAGAAUCAGGUUAAUGGAAGAAAGACCUAGAAUUAGUCAGAGGCACCUAAGAUGACUGCUUUAAUCUUAGUAAGAUUCUGAGGAG